rnacentral:rRNA from 1 species
UUAAGUGAAUAAGGGCGCACGGAGGAUGCCUUGGCACUAGGAGUCGAAGAAGGACGCGACAAACGGCGAAACGCCUCGGGGAGCUGUAAGUGAGCAUUGAUCCGGGGGUAUCCGAAUGGGGAAACCCGCUAGUGGUUAUACGCUAGCACCAUAUGGUGAAUACAUAGCCAUAUAGGAGACAGACCCAGGGAACUGAAACAUCUAAGUACCUGGAGGAAAAGAAAGAAAAAUCGAUUCCCGUAGUAGCGGCGAGCGAAGUGGGAAGAGCCCAAACCGGAUUUAUCCGGGGUUGUAGGACCUUCAUAAUUGACAAAUCAUGAUAGCCGAAUGGUCUGGGAAGGCCAACCGUAGGGGGUGAGAGUCCCGUAGGUGAAAUUGUGAGAUGCAUGGAAGGAAUCCUGAGUACGGCGGGACACGUGGAAUCCCGUCGGAAUCAACGAGGACCAUCUCGUAAGGCUAAAUACUACCUAGUGACCGAUAGUGAACCAGUACCGUGAGGGAAAGGUGAAAAGAACCCCGGAAGGGGAGUGAAAGAGAACCUGAAACCGUGUGCCUACAAAUAGUCAGAGCCCGUUAAUGGGUGAUGGCGUGCCUUUUGUAGAAUGAACCGGCGAGUUACGAUAUCGUGCGAGGUUAAGCAGAAGAUGCGGAGCCGUAGCGAAAGCGAGUCUGAAUAGGGCGAAGAGUACGAUGUUGUAGACCCGAAACCGUGUGAGCUAGCCAUGAGCAGGCUGAAGGUCAGGUAACACUGACUGGAGGGCCGAACCAGGGCACGUUGAAAAGUGCUUGGAUGACUUGUGGCUAGGGGUGAAAUUCCAAUCGAACACGGAUAUAGCUGGUUCUCUCCGAAAUAGCUUUAGGGCUAGCCUCGAUGUUAAGUCUACUGGAGGUAGAGCACUGAAUGGGUGAUGGCCCCACCUCGGGGUACUGAUCUCAAUCAAACUCCGAAUGCCAGAUAGAUAUAAUCGGGAGUCAGACUGUGGGUGAUAAGGUCCAUGGUCAAAAGGGAAAGAGCCCAGACCGCCAGCUAAGGCCCCCAAGUGUCCGUUAAGUGGAAAAGGAUGUGGAGAUGCACAGACAACUAGGAGGUUGGCUUAGAAGCAGCCAUCCUUUAAAGAGUGCGUAAUAGCUCACUAGUCGAGUGACUCUGCGCCGAAAAUGUACCGGGGCUAAACGGACCGCCGAAGCUGCGGAUUGACUUUAGAGUCAGUGGUAGGAGAGCGUUCUAACAGCGGUGAAGCAGUACCGGAAGGAGCUGUGGAGCGGUUAGAAGUGAGAAUGCCGGUGUGAGUAGCGAAAGAUAGGUGAGAAUCCUAUCCAUCGAAAGCCUAAGGUUUCCAGGGGAAGGCUCGUCCGCCCUGGGUAAGUCGGGACCUAAGGUGAGGCCGAAAGGCGUAGCCGAUGGACAACAGGUUGAUAUUCCUGUACCACUUAUUAAACUGAUGGAGUGACGGAGAAGGCUAAGUUGAGCGUGUGAUUGGAUUCACGUGUAAGCAGUGAGGUGGUCAUGUAGGCAAAUCCGCAUGGCAUAACAUUGAGCUGUGAUGCCGAAGCCGAAUGGCGAAGUCAACUGACGUCACGCUUCCAAGAAAAGCUUCUAGGGUUAAUUUAAUAAGUGCCCGUACCGAUAACCGACACAGGUAGGCGAGGAGAGAAUCCUAAGAUGAGCGAGAGAACUCUUGUUAAGGAACUCGGCAAAAUGACCCCGUAACUUCGGGAGAAGGGGUGCUUGUGAAAGCAAGCCGCAGUGAAUAGGCCCAGGCGACUGUUUAUCAAAAACACAGGUCUCUGCUAAACCGCAAGGUGAUGUAUAGGGGCUGACGCCUGCCCGGUGCUGGAAGGUUAAGAGGAGAGGUUAGCGCAAGCGAAGCUUUGAAUUGAAGCCCCAGUAAACGGCGGCCGUAACUAUAACGGUCCUAAGGUAGCGAAAUUCCUUGUCGGGUAAGUUCCGACC